rnacentral:rRNA from 1 species
AUUGAACGCUGGCGGCAGGCUUAACACAUGCAAGUCGAACGCAGUGGGGACGGGUGAGUAACACGUGGGUAACCUCCCAUCAGAGGGGAUAAAACUUGGAAACAGGUGAUAAACCGAUACUGAUGGAUGGAACCGCGGUGCAUUAGCUAGUUGGUGAGGGAACGGCUCACCAAGGCCACGAUGAAUAGCCGACAUGCGAGGGUGAUCGGCCACACUGGGACUUGGACACGGCCCAGACUCCUACGGGAGGCAGCAGUGGGGAAUAUUGCACAAUGGGCGAAAGCCUGAUGCAGCCAUGCCGCGUGUAUGAAGAAGGCCUUAGGGUUGUAAAGUACUUUCAGCGGGGAGGCGUUACCCGCAGAAGAAGCACCGGCUAACUCCGUGCCAGCAGCCGCGGUAAUUC